AGCGAACGCUGGCGGCAGGCCUAACACAUGCAAGUCGAACGGACCCUUCGGGGUUAGUGGCGGACGGGUGAGUAACACGUGGGAACGUUCCCUUUGGUUCGGAACAACUCAGGGAAACUUGAGCUAAUACCGAAUGUGCCCUUCGGGGGAAAGAUUUAUCGCCAUUGGAGCGGCCCGCGUCUGAUUAGCUUGUUGGUGAGGUAAUGGCUCACCAAGGCGACGAUCAGUAGCUGGUCUGAGAGGAUGAUCAGCCACAUUGGGACUGAGACACGGCCCAAACUACUACGGGAGGCAGCAGUGGGGAAUCUUGCGCAAUGGGCGAAGGCCUGACGCAGCCAUGCCGCGUGAAUGAUGAAGGUCUUAGGAUUGUAAAAUUCUUUCACCGGGGACGAUAAUGACGGUACCCGGAGAAGAAGCCCCGGCUAACUUCGUGCCAGCCGCCGCAGUAAGAC
rnacentral:rRNA from 1 species